rnacentral:rRNA from 1 species
GUGCCAGCAGCCGCGGUAAUACGUAGGGUGCAAGCGUUGUCCGGAUUUACUGGGCGUAAAGAGCUCGUAGGCGGUCUGUCGCGUCGGAUGUGAAAACCCAGGGCUCAACCCUGGGCCUGCAUUCGAUACGGGCAGACUAGAGUGCGGCAGGGGAGACUGGAAUUCCUGGUGUAGCGGUGAAAUGCGCAGAUAUCAGGAGGAACACCGGUGGCGAAGGCGGGUCUCUGGGCCGCAACUGACGCUGAGGAGCGAAAGCGUGGGGAGCGAACAGGAUUAGAUACCCUGGUAGUCC